GACGAACGCUGGCGGCGUGCUUAACACAUGCAAGUCGAACGGAAAGGCCCUGCUUUUGUGGGGUGCUCGAGUGGCGAACGGGUGAGUAACACGUGAGUAACCUGCCCUUGACUUUGGGAUAACUUCAGGAAACUGGGGUUAAUACCGGAUAGGAGCUCCUGCUGCAUGGUGGGGGUUGGAAAGUUUCGGCGGUUGGGGAUGGACUCGCGGCUUAUCAGCUUGUUGGUGGGGUAGUGGCUUACCAAGGCUUUGACGGGUAGCUGGACUGAGAGGGUGACCGGCCACAUUGGGACUGAGAUACGGCCCAGACUCCUACGGGAGGCAGCAGUGGGGAUUAUUGCACAAUGGGCGGAAGCCUGAUGCAGCAACUCCGCGUGCGGGAUGACGGCCUUCGGGUUGUAAACCGCUUUCGCCUGUGACGAAGCGUGAGUGACGGUAAUGGGUAAAGAAGCACCGGCUAACUACGUG
rnacentral:rRNA from 1 species